AUUGAACGCUGGCGGCAGGCCUAACACAUGCAAGUCGAACGGUAACAGGAAGCAGCUUGCUGCUUUGCUGACGAGUGGCGGACGGGUGAGUAAUGUCUGGGAAACUGCCUGAUGGAGGGGGAUAACUACUGGAAACGGUAGCUAAAACCGCAUAACGUCGCAAGACCAAAGAGGGGGACCUUCGGGCCUCUUGCCAUCGGAUGUGCCCAGAUGGGAUUAGCUAGUAGGUGGGGUAACGGCUCACCUAGGCGACGAUCCCUAGCUGGUCUGAGAGGAUGACCAGCCACACUGGAACUGAGACACGGUCCAGACUCCUACGGGAGGCAGCAGUGGGGAAUAUUGCACAAUGGGCGCAAGCCUGAUGCAGCCAUGCCGCGUGUAUGAAGAAGGCCUUCGGGUUGUAAAGUACUUUCAGCGGGGAGGAAGGGAGUAAAGUUAAUACCUUUGCUCAUUGACGUUACCCGCAGAAGAAGCACCGGCUAACUCCGUG
rnacentral:rRNA from 1 species